rnacentral:rRNA from 1 species
UGGGGAAUAUUGCGCAAUGGGGGGAACCCUGACGCAGCCAUGCCGCGUGAAUGAAGAAGGCCUUCGGGUUGUAAAGUUCUUUCGGUAUUGAGGAAGGUUGAUGUGUUAAUAGCACAUCAAAUUGACGUUAAAUACAGAAGAAGCACCGGCUAACUCCGUGCCAGCAGCCGCGGUAAUACGGAGGGUGCGAGCGUUAAUCGGAAUAACUGGGCGUAAAGGGCACGCAGGCGGUUAUUUAAGUGAGGUGUGAAAGCCCUGGGCUUAACCUAGGAAUUGCAUUUCAGACUGGGUAACUAGGGUACUUUAGGGAGGGGUAGAAUUCCACGUGUAGCGGUGAAAUGCGUAGAGAUGUGGAGGAAUACCGAAGGCGAAGGCAGCCCCUUGGGAAUGUACUGACGCUCAUGUGCGAAAGCGUGGGGAGCAAACAGGAUUAGAUACCCUGGUAGUCCACGCUGUAAACGCUGUCGAUUUGGGGGUUGGGGUUUAACUCUGGCGCCCGUAGCUAACGUGAUAAAUCGACCGCCUGGGGAGUACGGCCGCAAGGUUA